AUGAUGAUACAAACUAGAAUUAUAAAUACGGUUAGAACCUGAAUUUUUGUGAAGAUUUUCUAGGGCGGACUGAUGAA
rnacentral:snoRNA from 1 species